CAGCCGCCGCGGUAAUACCGGCGGCCCGAGUGGCGGUCACUAUUAUUGGGCUUAAAGCGUCCGUAGCCGGGUUGGGAAGUCCUCCGGGAAAUCUGGCCGCUUAACGGUCAGAAUGCCGGAGGAUACUCCCAGCCUAGGGAGCGGGCGAGGCCGAGGGGAUUCCCGGGGUAGGGGGGAAAUCCUAUAAUCCCGGGAGGACCACCUGUGGCGAAGGCGCUCGGCUGGAACGCGUCCGACGGUGAGGGACGAAGGCCAGGGGAGCAAACCGGAUUAGAUACCCGGGUAGUCCUGGCGGUAAACGAUGCGGACUUUGUGUCGGACAAGCUAUGAGCUUGUCCGGUGCCGGAGGGAAACCGUUAAGUCCGCCGCCUGGGGAGUACGGCCGCAAGGCUGAAACUUAAAGGAAUUGGCGGG
rnacentral:rRNA from 1 species